rnacentral:rRNA from 3 species
UACGGAGGGUGCAAGCGUUAAUCGGAAUUACUGGGCGUAAAGCGCACGUAGGUGGUUUGUUAAGCUAGCUGUGAAAUCCCCGGGCUCAACCUGGGCACUGCAGUUAGAACUGGCAAGCUAGAGUAGGGUAGAGGGGUGUGGAAUUCCAGGUGUAGCGGUGAAAUGCGUAGAUAUCUGGAGGAACAUCAGUGGCGAAGGCGACACCCUGGACUCAUACUGACACUGAGGUGCGAAAGCGUGGGGAGCAAACAGG